rnacentral:tRNA from 1 species
CCCAGUGUGGCAUAGUGGUUUGAGCAUUUGACUACAACUCUAGAGACCACGGUUUGAUUCCCACUGGGU